GUGAGGUCUGCUUGAGACUCCGACCGGGUGAAGAGACGGCGGAUUGCCGA
rnacentral:snoRNA from 1 species